ACUAAUAUUUAAUGUUUUAUGUACUCUAAUACACAUAAACAAUUGAUUCACAGUGUGGAGUAAUAAUAUAUUAAUAAUCGUACAAACACAAAAUUAAGAGAAAAGAAAACUUUAAGAAAUUACGAAGACAUAUUUAAAUUAAAGGAAUCCAGUUAGGUAACAACGAAUAUCUUAUCCUGCCUAAAACAACAAUGAAGGGAAAUCUGCUUUUCGCCAACGGUUUCCAGAAUGCGGAAUCGAAUUCAAGUGCUCUGUGGAAGUGGAAAGGAAUCGAUCUGCAGGAGAGAAAGCCCGAGGGUAAGCUGUAUCCGGUGACGGAAUUCUUCCACGAGAAGAUCGACGACGCCGUCCUCGGCCCCGGAGUCGGCGCCGGAAUCGGCUGCGGCGUUGGAUUGGGGUUCGGAGUGGUCGGCGGCGCCGGCUUUCUCAGCUCGUCGUGGAAUGAUCUUAGAUUGGUGUUUGGCGUCGGAAUUGGAUGCGGAGCCGGCGCCGGAGUCGGGUUCGGGCAGGGUUACGGCGGAGGGUUCAGCUUGGAAUCGCUAAGAUCUUAUUGGUCGAAGCCGAGAUCUAAAUCGAAGAGGCGGGUUCGGGUUUAGGUGCGCAGAGAAUUUGUCAGAAAUAGAAGGAAAAAUCCAGUCAGAAAUAGAAGGAAAAAUCCAUCAGGCAGAGGAAACUGAAGGAAAAGUGGAGUGAAGAAGUCAGUUGCAACCUGACCCAGGAGAUCAAGGAAGCAGUUGUGAGCAGAAAAGUGUCUUGUUUAAAGGACUUUAUAGGAGGGAAAAAUCGACAAUUCAGUAGAGGAACUACCCUAGAAGUUCGAGCAUCAACUAUAAAUAGAGACAACAUGAAGAGAGAUCAGCAUCAUUCACCUUCCACUCUUAGCUCAUCACUCACACACAUCAUUCCUCUGCGCACUUAGAUACUUAUGGGGUAAAAUUCUGGGAAUUCGUGGUGGUCUAGCUUGGAUUUUGUGGUGUAACACCGUCCUCGUGAAGGGCAAAGAUACAAUUUAUCAUUUUCUGUUGCUUUCCGUCGCUUUAAGCCGAGACUUCACCGUUUUAGAAGCUCAUCGUUUAUUGCUUAUGUGUUAAACUUUGACUAUUGUUGCUAUGGAAUUUCAUAUUUUCUGUUCA